rnacentral:rRNA from 1 species
UGAUUACGGCUCAGUAACACGUGGACAACCUACCCUAUGGAAGGGGAUAAUCCCGGGAAACUGGGGAUAAUACCCUAUAGACUAUGGAUGCUGGAAUGCUCUGUAGCCCGAAAGGUCCGCCGCCAUAGGAUGGGUCUGCGGCCGAUUAGGUUGUUGUUGGGGUAACGGCCCAACAAGCCUGUAAUCGGUACGGGUUGUGGGAGCAAGAGCCCGGAGAUGGAUUCUGAGACACGAAUCCAGGCCCUACGGAGCGCAGCAGGCGCGAAAACUUUGCAAUGCGGGAAACCGUGACAAGGGAACUCUGAGUGCCCGUAAAAUCGGGCUGUCCAUCAGUUUAAAAAACUGGUGAAGAAAGGGCCGGGCAAGACCGGUGCCAGCCGCCGCGGUAAUACCGGCGGCUCGAGUGGUGGCCACUAUUACUGGGCUUAAAGCGUUCGUAGCUGGUUUGUUAAGUCUCUGGGGAAAUCUUCCGGCUCAACCGGAAGGCGUCUCAGGGAUACUGGCAGACUAGGGACCGGAAGAGGUGAGAGGUACUCCAGGGGUAGGAGUGAAAUCCUGUAAUCCUUGGGGGACCACCUGUGGCGAAGGCGUCUCACCAGGACGGCUCCGACAGUGAGGGACGAAAGCUGGGGGAGCAAACCGGAUUAGAUACCCGGGUAGUCCCAGCCGUAAACGAUGUGCGUUAGGUGUAUCGGUGACCACGAGUCACCGAGGUGCCGAAGAGAAAUCGUGAAACGUACCGCCUGGGAAGUACGGUCGCAAGGCUGAAACUUAAAGGAAUUGGCGGGGGAGCACA